rnacentral:rRNA from 1 species
GACGAACGCUGGCGGCGUGCCUAAUACAUGCAAGUCGAGCGGACCAACCAGGAGCUUGCUCUUGUUUGGUUAGCGGCGGACGGGUGAGUAACACGUGGGUAACCUGCCCGUAAGACCGGGAUAACUCCGGGAAACCGGAGCUAAUACCGGAUAACACCGAAGACCGCAUGGUCUUUGGUUGAAAGGCGGCUUCGGCUGCCACUUACGGAUGGGCCCGCGGCGCAUUAGCUAGUUGGUGAGGUAACGGCUCACCAAGGCGACGAUGCGUAGCCGGCCUGAGAGGGUGGCCGGCCACACUGGGACUGAGACACGGCCCAGACUCCUACGGGAGGCAGCAGUAGGGCAUCUUCCGCAAUGGGCGAAAGUCUGACGGAGCGACGCCGCGUGAGCGAAGAAGGUCUUCGGAUCGUAAAGCUCGGUUGUUAGGGAAGAAGAAGCGCCGUUCGAACAGGGCGGCGCGGUGACGGUACCUAACGAGAAAGCCCCGGCUAACUACGUG